rnacentral:rRNA from 1 species
CAAACCCGAUUUUUUUAUAGAAUCUCUGAGGCCUAAAGGCAACUAUAACAACUUUCAACAACGGAUCUCUUGGCUCUGGCAUCGAUGAAGAACGCAGCGAAAUGCGAUAAGUAUU